CGUGGCCUAGUGGUUAAGACACCAGGCUAACAACCUGAAGGUCUUUGGUUCGGACCCG
rnacentral:tRNA from 11 species